UUUGUAGCCUGAACUCUGUCUCAAAUGUUAAUGCACCAAAUAAAGAGUCUUCAAGUGGAGAUGGGAGGAGAGUCCAGGGCUCAGAUGCCAAACCCUCUUGAUAGCAGAUCUAUUUUUUGUCCACAACCAGAUGGACGGUUGACAGUUUCACAUUCCUUUCUGAUCACUUUAGAACUGACAUUCCACUGGCUCCUUGUUGAAGAAAGCAGGAGCUAGCAGUGUCCUGGAGGCUAGAAAUAGAACCAUACCAUGCCCCAUAGUCAAGCCUGGCCAUGUCUACACAGUGGCCGGGAAGGCUUGGCCAAAGAGAAAGCUGAUGUAGUUUGGUGACAUACCUUUUCAGCUGCUUAUUUAAAAAUCUGCCCAGCUCCAAAGGCACCAGUUAUUACUAAAGCCAGGCACCAGACAGUGGAGUUGAGGUGCAAGGAAGGCGAGCCUGCUUUUUCUCAAAGUGUCUGCCCCCUGAACCCAUAGCAAGCUAGAAGCUCCACCAAGCAUAUGCGGUUGUCUAAAUGAUAUGUACUAUCCAAUAACUCCACAAUAACACACAGAGCUAAGGCUUAAGUCAUUGUGCCCAGAGUCUCUGUGUGUGGGAGAGGGCUGGGAUUGUUUUCCUCGCCUGUGGGCUGGCAUGUGACCUUGGUUUAAUCACUCUUGCUCAUCAGAGAAGGUGAAAGUCAGCAACCUGUAUUUCAGAGCAUGAUGGUCAGGGUUUAGCUGGUAGGUUCUGAGGAAGGAGGGGGAAUCGCUGCUGUGCUCCAGGCUGCAUUUCCAUUUUCUUUUCUCUAGUCUUGGAGGUGAUUGGACUGGUAUAGGAAUAAGGCUGUUUACAAGCCAUGGUGGUGACCCCUGAAAAACUCUUAAUAGCACUCCUAUCAUGGGCACACACCCUUCCUCCUUUAAUGCCACUGAAGCCUGGAGGAGACCUCCUCUUCUAAUUCCGGAUCUAGACAGUUGAAGCUGGGAAUGGCCACAAUUUAAAGAAUGCACUCCAGUCUAGAAGUCAAGGUCCCUGCCCCCAGCCCCACCUGAUGCCUCUCCCCUGACGUUGUUGAGUUAGUCACAGUGUAAGGAGAGCUAGCGUGUAGAUGCCAUGUGACACGAUGGAGUGGAUGGUGGCGAUUAUAGACUGUAAUGUUACCUUAGCACUCUUAAGAAAAUUCUCUCUCCCACAGCUUUACUUUCAGCCUUCGGUUUUUUCUUUUGUUAACAUUCAUUUGUAUGGGGUACACACAUGAAUAGAGCUCUCAGGACAGUUUGUAGACUCUGGGAAUGAAGCCUAGAUUAUGAAGCUUUUUAGCAGCAAGCACCCAUACUAGCUGAACUAUCUCACCAGCCCCCUCCUGACUUUUAAGAGUGUGUGAGCAGUUUAGUCUACAUGGGGUCGGAGGUUGGGAGGGGACUGGGGGCCGGAUUCUAGUUCUAGUAAGUUGAAUGUCAACCAGAAAAAAUGACUUGGACCUAUUUUCUUUCCUUGGCAUUUGCCUCUUAAUAAUACAUGGACAGAAGUCAUCAUCUUGAGGGACUUGGCUGUGACAUUUGAUGUCACUGGACAUGUUUACAUUGCAGAGGAAGCAGCUUUGUCAUAAAGAGCUUGACCUGUGCCCUCAGGCUCCAGCGAGCUGGUUCCCAGACUAUUGUGGGCCAGGGUUGGCUCUGCUUCUGGACAGAGUCUCUGUACAUGAGUCUUAGUGUUUCUAGAAUCAUACUAAGUCCAUCCAGGUAGAGGUGAGGCCAGCAGGCCCAGAUUUUGCCCAUGACAGCCAUCCAUAUAUUCACCUUUCUGCUGCCUGGCACCCUUUUCUCUCCUGGACCCCUUUAAGAUGGGUCCAGAAAGCAUGCAGCUAUUUCUUGGACAACAGUGACAUUCCAUAUUCUCAGUUUGUCAUCAUUGCCCUUUCUUGGUUCUUUGGAUAAGUUGAAGCCACCUUCUUUCUCCCCCAGAGAACAAAUAGGCAACACUCAAGCAGCUUUCCAUCUGCCCCCACCCCUGCUCCGUGUACAUGUGCCAUUCAGCUGGAACGGACGCUGCCUUGGGCCUCGGGAGUUCUCAGCAGCUACUUUGCAUUUGGAGCUCCUUGAAAAGCCUCCAUAUUGGUCAUUGGCAAUUUCUGUCUUUGCUCAGACCAACUCAACACGUCUUCAGUAGCAAGUACCCAGGCAGAUUCUGCUGUGCCCUUUUUGGAAGAAUGCAUGGUGGGGACAUUUGGAGUCCACAUUAUGACAGUUGUCACCGUCUGUGUGGAAAGAUUUUGUCCCAGCCAGCUGCUAGGCCUCUUUUAUUAUAUUAAUAGCAGGGCUGUGGGGCCCACUGGGAUUGGAAGCCAAGGAGAAGAGGACAGCUGUGGCGGACAUCACACCAUGCUCUAGGCAUGUGCUCCCAUGUCACAGGCACACAGAUGGCCCACACCUUGUCCUGCCGCUCAAAACGCCCCCAGUGCCCUGCCUGACUUUUCCUUAUAGGGACAGGAAUGGGCUUGUGUGGGCCAUCCAUGGGAUGAAGGAGCCAAAUUAAGACAGCCUGACUGGAAAAGGGUUUGAAUGGCCUGAGCUGUGGGUCAGCAAGCAAGUGUGCUAGGAGCCAGACAUGUGGAGCCAAGGAAGGCAGCAGUAUCCCAACAACUGAGAGUACUGGAUCUUACGUGGCAAGGGUAGGCAGGUGGUUUUAAGUAUCACAGGCCAAAUGGCAGCUCAGUUGGCAGCAGGGUGGAGGGAGGGGGUUUGGAGGACACAUUUGCUGUGCCUAAAUAUGGGCAGGAUUAGGGACCGAUGCCCAGCCUAGGGAGAGGGGUCAUGAGAAUAAUGAAUAAGCAGGAGGUGUUAGUGAAAGGUGAGGAGUAUGAACUGGGGCAGGGGUCAGACAGAACUGUGGAAUCUCUGAAAACAGGCUAGAGUGGAAAGCCCCAGUUCAUAGGGCCAGUGCAGAGAGAAAGCCUGUGGGUCAGGCCCUGUUCUGGUGUCAAGAAAAAUGAGUGCCAAACUCAGUGCCCUGCUUUCUUCCCUAAGGCUCUUAGACAAAGGGCUGAGUGGGUCCAGAGUUAAAUACACCAAGCUCUGGGCCUUAGGAAGGAGUGCCAAACAGUAGCCCUGGUGAUGAGUAGCAAAUUUUAACUCCCACCAUUGUAUGAUAGUAGCUAAAAGCCACCCUCCAGUCCUAGUCCUAUCUGGGUACAUGAUACUGUCACCACACAUUUUCUUCAAUUUUUUUUUCUUUGUCUGAACAGCAAUAGCUUGUUUUCACUAGUGUUCAGAUACUAGGUUUUACCAAAAUCUUAAGAUGUUUAACUUAAGACAUAAAGGCACCUCUGGUCUUCUGGGUCCACAUGUCCACAGAUGUCCCUGGGCAAGGGGUGGCCACCCCCUGUUGGUCAGCUGUGGCGCCUGCUGCCACCUACCCAUGUCACUCAUCUUGAAGAGGGAGCUGGCUUUUGUAGGCAUUUGCCCUUUGCCUUUUCUGAAGUGUAGUGCAGCUGUUCUUGUCCCAGGAAUUCGGAGCCAUCGGAGCUGAGCUAUUGGAGCUGUUGGCUGGGCCUCCCCCCCACCUUUGACUUUGCUAUGACAUUGGUCUAGGAAGCAUAGGCUUGUUCAUGAACUCAAGCUGGGUCUACAGAAGGGAAGGCCAGGGAAAGAAACAGUGAACUUCUAUCGGGGCUUGGGAUAGGCUUAACAAGCCAGCAUGGCCACCUAGUUCCCUCUUUGUGGUCCCUUAGUAACCUGGCCUGUACCACAGAGUUAGGCAGUUACCAUGGCAGCAUCUGUGCUCUCUGUCCCUGGGCCUCCCUCCACACCAUCUGGGUAGGACCUAGCCUAGCAUAGAAUUCACCAAGGAGGCCUCUCUCAGCAUGCAAGCAGACAGGAAGAAGGGACUGAGAAUGGAGAAGGGGGCUUGAGUUGGCAUCAGGUGGCCCCUGCCUUCAUCUCUACCCUGAUCCCUCUUGUCUUUCCUCCAUUUCCUUAACUGUACAUAUUUCUCCCUAGCUCACUCUUGCUUCUUGGAAAAAAAAAUGAUAGUGUCAUCAGAUUGAGGCUUGGAUGGUCUCUCUCUGCUGAAGCUUGGGGUGUAAGUCCUGUUGACUUCAAGGGUGGCAGUGUGUUACCUGCCUACUGCUCUAAGCUCAGUUUUGGUAAUUCAGAAGCCCUUGUUCUUAUUGACCUGUUUGUUGUGUGUGAGGUGUAGAGUCCUAGGCCUCAGGGGACCAUAUGUUCCUUUAAUUGACUUAUCUUUGUGGCAACCUAAAGAGAAGCUUCACUAUAAGUGAGAUCCUGACUCGCCCAGGGCCACAUGGCUGGGAAGUAUCAGAGCCCAUGUAGGAAGUCAGUUGACCUCCAGAACCCAUUUUCCAGCACUGCCAUCUGGUACUGGUUGGAAACUAACAGGCCUUCAAGGAGGCCAGGAUGACACUUGGCUGAGGUGGUAUUGAGGCCAUCAGGAACCUGCCCUGCAGCAGACCUGGAGCUUGCUGAGCUUCGAGAUAGAGAGACAGCUGGUGGGUGGGCCAUAGGUUGUGGUGAGCUGGCUGGUAGCUAUCAGGAAUCAUGAAGAGGGAAGCAGAUUACUCCUCACUUGGGUUGGAGUCUACACUUAAAAGCACUGAGGGUUGUCUAUUUGGAGGAAUGGCAGGGAGAUGAUUUAGUUCAGGUGAGGCCUACCUGGCCCUUGCAGUGGCCAUGGUACAUGCAGGAGGCAAAUGGUUCUUACUCAUAGGUAUGUGAGCAGAAGCAUAAGGUUGGAUUGGAGUGACCACUGAAGUGGUCAAAUUGGAGAUAGGCUUUCUCUGAGCCCUCUCUAACAGUAUAAAGAGGAAGGACCCUCAUAUUAUACUUGUGGAAUCUUCAGCUCUUUGGGGGCUCAGCCUAUACCCAGAGCUGGGUCUUUGUAGCCUUCUGAACAGAUAAGACCCUAGGAUGAAACAGCCUUGGACAGCCACCCCAAGUGGCAGCAAGAUCCCAAAACAACCUCUUUUCCAUAAGCAGCAAUGGGCUGGAUUGGGUGCCACACAAGAUCUUGAAGGAAACACCUAGUGAAGAGUUACCCUCAAGGACGAUGGGGUACACUUCUGGUAGCUUUCUCUUGGCACCUCUGAGGUUACCAGCUUUCCUUCUUGGAAGGCUGGAGAGUUGAGUGUACCACCUGGCAUUUCUUUGUUGUCUGCAAGUAGGAAAAGGGGACUUGUAUGGUCAACAACUGGCGCCACAUCUCCAGUCCAGGAGGUAGAUGGCGGGCUGGUGGAUAUUCUCCAGGUCAGAUUCUGCAUUGAGAACAGAUGCGCAGAGGGGAGUCAUGAAGGGAUCGCCUUGUAAUCCUGCUGGGAUCCUCCACUAAAGCUGUGCUCUUCCUCUGCAGGCUCCAGAGGGGACACAGUAUCCCAGCCCUUCACCACUAGAUGGUACAUCUGUGGUGAUGCUGAUGCACAGAAGAGCCCUUUUUCUGAGAGCCAGUUGGUGUAGGGUUCUUGAGACCUUUCCGUCCUGAGCAGCUCUUAGGCUUGGCACCAUCCCCAGCUAUUCAGCCAUGUCACCUGUGGGUGUCUGGGUGUGAUUGGGAUGGAGAUAGGUGUCUAUCAAGUGUGCAGUUCCGUGAGCAGUUCUGUGAUGGGGCCAAAUUGGUUCUUUGGUUUCUCGUCUUUGCUUUGCUGGUCCAGCUGGAGGACCAUGGCUCUGUCCUCCUCCUUUGCUCAAACAAAGGCUUUCAGAAAGGCUUCGUCUUUUCUUACCUAAGGAAUCAAAUCUCUAGACUUUGAUUUCUUGUCCUCAGAGCUUGCCUAGCUGAGGGCUAUGAAGAAGUGGAUUCUGGGAAGAUGAUUUGUCUAGGGUCAUGGACACAGGCCUUGGAAGAUGACUUCUAAGCCUAUUUCAUUAAUGACCUGUAUUCCCUCAUUAGAAAAGGUUUCGUAUUUCCAAAAACAUGGCUCUUAAGUCUCACAUGGUCAGACAGUAGCCCAAAGAUUGCCCAUAAAUAUGUCUUAUGAUGGCUGUUUAGCCACUAAGACAGAGACAUUAAGUUGAAGAGCUUUAUAACUAUGACCUUAGGAGGCUGUAUGUGUCUGUUUUGUUUAUGUUAACAUUCUCUGCCCCAUUUUUCUCCACUCUAAGCAUCUUUGGCGCUUUCAGCACUGUGUCACCUUUGAAGCCUUAUCAUUGCUGUGUGUGACAUGGGGCCUCGCGAAUGCUCUUCUACUUGAGAGCACAACAUUUGGUCCUGAAGGAAAGGUUUGCUAAGCAGGAGAACUUGAGGGAAGCUCUGGCUUCUGAGGACUAGGAUUCAACUCAGGUCUACGUGAGAUACUGAUCUACACUGGCAGCCCCCUUUUUAUUUUAUAUUGAGACAAGAUCUCACUGAGUUACCCACCCUGGCCUCAAACUUGGAAUCCUCAUGCCUUACAUUCCUGGGUAAACACUAUUACAGGCAUGAACCUCUGUGCCCAGUAUGGAGUUGUUUGUUUGUUUUUGUUAACCACCUCUGUAAGACUGAGCUGGGGUGGAGGCGGGGACCCAAGUACCCAGUUUUAUGAGUUAUUAAUGCCCUGCCUCUCCCAUGUAUGGUGCAUAUCUGCCUAAUAAAUUUGUGUAGAAAGAU